GACGAGGGAUCCUAGCGUUGCUCGGAAUUAUUGGGCGUAAAGCGGGUGUAGGUGGCUUGGUAAGUCAGAUGUGAAAGCCCUGGGCUUAACCCAGGAAGUGCAUUUGAUACUGCUAAGCUUGAGUGCGAGAGAGGUUAAUAGAAUACCUGGUGUAGUGGUGAAAUACGUAGAUAUCAGGUGGAACACCGGAGGCGAAGGCGGUUAACUGGCUCGACACUGACACUGAGACCCGAAAGCGUGGGGAGCAAACAGG
rnacentral:rRNA from 1 species